rnacentral:rRNA from 1 species
UUAAAAAGUUAAUUGUGGAAUUCAAUUUAAUUUGAAACAAUUAAAUUAUUAUAUAUUUUUUUUCUUAUUUUUUUAUAUUAAAUAAAUUAUUGUUUUAUUUUAUCUUUAGAAAAAAUUUUUAUUAUUAUAGUUUAUUAGUAUUGUGAAAGAAUUUUUUAUUUAUUAAAAAGAAAAAUUAAUUUUUUGUACCUUGUGUAUCAGGGUUGAUUAAAAUAUUUUAAUUAUUUAAUUAUCUCGAAUUUAAAAGGGCUAAUAAGUUAUUUUUUUAAUUGUUUCAUAAAUUUUAUAAAUUAUUUAUUAGUAAUGAAAUGUUAUUCGUUUUUAAAUAUAUCUAGUUUUUUAAGAAAAAAAUUUAAUUUUUUUAAUAAAAUUAUUAUUAAUCUAUUUUGUUAGUUUAAUAUUUUUAUUAUUAAAUAUUAUUAGGGAUAAGCUUAGUAAUAUAUUUUUAAAAAUUUAUUUGAAUAAAUAAAUAUAUAGGAUUGUAAAUUUUCAUUGGUAUUAGUUUGUUAUAAUUAUUUUAUUAUAAAUUUUAUUUAUAUAAAUUUUAAAUUAUUUAUUAAAAUGUUAAUAUAAAUUAUUAUUAUUAAUUAAUAAUGAUUAAAUUAGUAUAAUUUUAUUUAUUAAUAAAUUUAUUAUUAAGAUUAAUUUAAGGAAUUCGGCAAAAAUUUUUCCGCCUGUUUAUUAAAAACAUGUCUUUUUGAUUUUAAUUUAAAGUCUUACCUGCCCCCUGAGUAAUUAAAUGGCCGCGGUAUCUUGACCGUGCUAAGGUAGCAUAAUCAUUAGUUUUUUAAUUGAAAGCUGGAAUGAAGGGUUUGACGAGAAAAAAGCUGUCUCAAUUUAAUAAUUUGAAUUUUAUUUUUAAGUUAAAAAGCUUAAAUUUAUUUAAAAGACGAGAAGACCCUAUAGAGUUUGAUAAAUAAAGUAUUUACAUUAAUAUAGAAUUAAUUAAUUAAAUACUAAAAUUUAUUUGAUUGGGGUGAUUUAAAAAUUAAGUUAACUUUUUAUAUUUUUUUUCAUUGAUUUAUGUUCAAUUGAUCCAUUAUUAACGAUUAAAAGAUGAAAUUACCUUAGGGAUAACAGCGUAAUUUUUUUUGAGAGUUCUUAUUGAAAAAAAAGAUUGCGACCUCGAUGUUGGAUUAAAAUUAAUUUUUGGUGCAGAAGCUAAAAAUAUUAGGUCUGUUCGACCUUUAAAAUUUUACAUGAUCUGAGUUUAAACCGGUGUGAGCCAGGUUGGUUUCUAUCUUUAAAUAUCAUUAAUAGUUUAGUACGAAAGGAUCAAUUAUU